ACACAUGCAAGUCGAACGAAAAGAGGGAAAGAGCUUGCUCUUUCCGGAAUUGAGUGGCAAACGGGUGAGUAACACGUAAACAACCUGCCUUCAGGAUGGGGACAACAGACGGAAACGACUGCUAAUACCGAAUAAGUUCCAAGAGCCGCAUGGCCCAUGGAAGAAAAGGUGGCCUCUACCUGUAAGCUAUCGCCUGAAGAGGGGUUUGCGUCUGAUUAGCUGGUUGGAGGGGUAACGGCCCACCAAGGCGACGAUCAGUAGCCGGUCUGAGAGGAUGAACGGCCACACUGGAACUGAGACACGGUCCAGACUCCUACGGGAGGCAGCAGUGGGGAAUCUUCCGCAAUGGGCGAAAGCCUGACGGAGCAACGCCGCGUGAGUGAUGACGGCCUUCGGGUUGUAAAACUCUGUGAUCCGGGACGAAAAGGCAGAGUGCGAAGAACAAACUGCAUUGACGGUACCGGAAAAGCAAGCCACGGCUAACUACGUGCCAGCAGCCGCGGUAAUACAUAGGUGGCAAGCGUUGUCCGGAAUUAUUGGGCGUAAAGCGCGCGCAGGCGGCUUCCCAAGUCCCUCUUAAAAGUGCGGGGCUUAACCCCGUGAUGGGAAGGAAACUGGGAAGCUGGAGUAUCGGAGAGGAAAGUGGAAUUCCUAGUGUAGCGGUGAAAUGCGUAGAGAUUAGGAAGAACACUGGUGGCGAAGGCGACUUUCUGGACGAAAACUGACGCUGAGGCGCGAAAGCGUGGGGAGCAAACAGGAUUAGAUACCCUGGUAGUCCACGCCGUAAACGAUGGAUACUAGGUGUAGGAGGUAUCGACCCCUUCUGUGCCGGAGUUAACGCAAUAAGUAUCCCGCCUGGG
rnacentral:rRNA from 1 species